UAUCCUCUAACUUCUUCACUUCCUUCUUCUCAGGGUCUAGGGUUACAAUUUGGAAUUGGCCUUUGUUCUUCCUCACCACACAGUACCAUCUAUAGCAUGCGGGACAGCGACUCACAUGGAGUAGGAAACACUGAAAUCUCCCCCUUCGGAGCAGAUGUUUACUGCUCGUCCAUUUGUUCCGGAAAUCUCAGAAAGAAAUGCAUGGAGACACAGAAUUCGGGUAAAAUAAUAAAACUUCUACUUGCAAGCAGCCAGGACUGCCAGAAACCAGUCUGGUCAUCGGAGAGGUCCUCCUGGCAGACUGACGGGAGAUGA
rnacentral:lncRNA from 1 species